CUCUGAAGGUCCCAACCCCAUGCGUCCCACUGGUCUGGAAUAACAUUUGGAGUCUGGCAGUCUGGUCCCUUUUGUAGCUCCAGAGGAUUUUUGGAGCAUGGGGAGCAUGGGAUGCAUGGAUGUACGGACCCACAAAACCCUCUGGAGAAUGCUGGCUGUGGAAAAAAGCAUCUGGAAGUUUCUACCAUCUUUUUACCCUGUUUUUUUCCUGGGUCACCCUGUGUCAUUUGUGGCCCUGUCCUGAGGAUUAUAGCAUAGAGUCACUUACUGGAAUAUCUCCCCAUGCAUCUUCUUGAAAUGGAGCCAUUGCUUUACCCAGCUGGAAGAUAUUUUCUCUUCUCCCAGGGCUUUUCCAGUGCAGCAGCACUCCUGUCCAGCAGGUCUCGGUUGACUGCAGAAAGGAGAAGGGAGGAGCAUGUCAAAGGGAGGUCAGAUCCUGCCAGGGUUUCCUGGGAAAUGAGGUUUCGCUGUAUUUUGCCUCUUCAGAGCUGA
ensembl:lncRNA